rnacentral:rRNA from 1 species
GACGAACGCUGGCGGCGUGCCUAAUACAUGCAAGUGGGACGCAAGGGAACACACUGUGCUUGCACACCGUGUUUUCUUGAGUCGCGAACGGGUGAGUAACGCGUAGGUAACCUGCCUAUUAGCGGGGGAUAACUAUUGGAAACGAUAGCUAAUACCGCAUAAUAUUAAUUAUUGUAUGAUAAUUGAUUGAAAGAUGCAAGCGCAUCACUAGUAGAUGGACCUGCGUUGUAUUAGCUAGUUGGUAAGGUAAGAGCUUACCAAGGCGACGAUACAUAGCCGACCUGAGAGGGUGAUCGGCCACACUGGGACUGAGACACGGCCCAGACUCCUACGGGAGGCAGCAGUAGGGAAUCUUCGGCAAUGGACGAAAGUCUGACCGAGCAACGCCGCGUGAGUGAAGAAGGUUUUCGGAUCGUAAAGCUCUGUUGUAAGUCAAGAACGUGUGUGAGAGUGGAAAGUUCACACAGUGACGGAGCUACCAGAAAGGAC